AGGCUAUCGCCGUCUUGUAGCCCUGGUCAGCAGCUGUUGCUCUGAUCAGGAAAAUAGACAUACAGAAAAACGUGGAGCUCAUCUUAAAAAAGCUGAGGCAACUGGUGCAUUAUGUCGGGCCUUAAAACGGCCAACCUACGCAUACUCGCGCGGUGCAGGCAACUCAGUUGCCUGACAUGGUAACUCCGUCGCCAUCCAUCUUGAGCCGAUGAGAGGAGGAGAGAAACUCACCCCGGGAGCUUCGUGAGUGCUAUGACCAUGGCAGAUUGCUUUAAAAUCCUGAUUGACGACCUUCUUGGGUUUUGACACGGUCUGCUCGGACCAGGAGCCCAAAGUAAAGCGCAGCAGGCAUCGCGCCCAUAGGCCGGUCACUUCACUCAGUGGCUGCUACCGCCGACGCGGAUGAAAAGAACCACCAGCCUGGAUCGGAGGCGGGCACAACGAGGAGGAGCUCGACCUGCCCUGACAGCCAGAACGGUACCUCGUCAGCCCGGGAGCUUCGUGAGUGCUAUGACCAUGGCAGAUUGCUUUAAAAUCCUGAUUGACGACCUUCUUGGGUUUUGACACGGUCUGCUCGGACCAGGAGCCCAAAGUAAAGCGCAGCAGGCAUCGCGCCCAUAGGCCGGUCACUUCACUCAGUGGCUGCUACCGCCGACGCGGAUGAAAAGAACCACCAGCCUGGAUCGGAGGCGGGCACAACGAGGAGGAGCUCGACCUGCCCUGACAGCCAGAACGGUACCUCGUCAGCCCCCCCCCCCCCCCUCACCAAAUCACAUGUGACCGGGGAGCUGUGGUUGUGGCAUCGGCAUCCCAUCCCAUCCGGAUGCUGUGGCAUAAAUUGCGUCCGCCGUUUUUUAGUCAGUGGCUUAAGUGGGGAUUGCUCUGUCUCUGUUAUAAAGAGCAGGAGAAGUGGCUCUGCGGGAAGUCCCCCUUUCUAUGUGACUCUCUCUUUUUCUGGACAGGAAUAUCAAUUAUCUAAACGGCAGCUCGAAUCUUAUCAAUUAUCUACCCAUCUCCACACGUGUGUCCUUUGCAGGCAUAUAUUCAAACUGUUUAAACGUGCCACUGAAGCAGACACGUAGGCCCUUCCAUUCCACUGGCCUCGUAACUCAUCCUAAACGAUCUCUAGUUGGGCCACCCAGGGAUUCCGAUUCGAAAACGGACUCACAAUACGUGCACUCGCCACAAUUUGGUUUAUUAUGUGCUCAGAUCCCUACCCUCUUUUCAGAUCUCAGUGCGUUCUACCACGGAGCAGAAGUGGUUGUGGCUUGGGAGACCUCUCAGUCCCCUGAUUAAUGUUGGAUCGUCAUGCCAAAUUAUGCAAAAAGAUUAGCUCUGUUUGUGCGUGUGGGCGAUCCAGAUAUCUAGAUCUAAACGGAGGAUGUGAUACGGAUAUCCUCCUGUCGGGAAACUGAAUUUUCUGGAUAUAUAUUUUAAAAGGAAUAAGAAGGCAAUACAAGGAAUAGUUAGUUAGAUAAUAGUCGCGAUUUUGAUGGAUAUUUGCUUCCCUUUGGGAGUUUGGGACGUAAAAAUAUACAUGGGUUAGCGAGGAAAACCUUCAAGAAAAACUGAUGCAAUCUUCAGGGAUUCCAUUCUUUAUUCUAUAUUCUCCUGCAAAUAUUUCCUCUUCCAAUUUAAUUUCAAAACAAACAAAUAAAUUUAGUUCUUCUGCCCCAGAACCCUUCCCAGACCUCUGAAGAGCCGACCCUUUGGCGGCUGCCCAGGCCCCAAACCCAGACCCCAGACACUUGGACACCCGUUUCUAAUAUUCUUCUCGGAAUCGUUUAGUUCAGUGUAAAAGGGGGGCAGGGUGCACGUAUAUGUAAUUGGAUGGCACGGAAUCGUUGGACACAUUUUGACAAACGGCUUCCUUCGUGACCAAGUGCGAGCCGCGAAAAGUCUUUUGAAAAUUGUUCAAUGCGAAUAUAAAUUUUCAUAUUCUAUUGAAAUUCAUUAUUUUUGUUGGUUAAUUAUUGCAUUAUUCAUGCAGUCGGCACUUUGUUCUGUUCAUUCGCUUGCGGUGAAAUAAUGCCAGCCCCCGCAAUGUAAUACAUAAUUAUUUUCAAAUUGUUUGUGAAACUCCCGCCCCCAGAGGCCGUGUGGGAGAGUGGAGGCGAGGAGGCGUGCCUGCAGCGACAUAUUGAAUAUGAAAAUGCAGUAUAAAUAAA